CACAGUCACCCCAGCCUUUAGCAACCGCCACCCUGAUUAGUCAGCAGCCAACCACAUUGAGGCCAGACCCUUCAACCAGCAAAGAUUGCGACUCGCUGAAGGCUCAGUAGGAUUUUCAGCUCCUAGAAGCCAGAGAUCAUGUUACUCAUUCUUUUGCAUCCUUCCCAGGGUCUAGUGGAGCACUGAGCAUCAUCCCUCAUUCUGGAGGAAGCAAGCUGGCAUGUCAUGAGUCCUGUGAAGAGGCUCAUGCAGAAAAGAGCUGAUGUCUCUGGCCAACAGCCACAUGAUUGGGCCUAUAAGUGGAGGCUUCCCCAGAUGGAGUCUCACUCUGUCACCAGACUGGAGUGGAGUGGUGCGACCUCGGCUCCCUGCAAUCUCCGCCUCCCAUGUUCAAGUGCCUCUCCUGCCUCAGCCUCUCAAAUAGCUGGGAUUACAGGGAAGGCUGGAAAUACUUCUUAACGAAUUACACAUCUAUCAAGUUUCCCCUAUUUCUCCCCAGUCUGUUUUCAGGAAAUCUCAACCCAUAUGUGUUUCUUUCCAUACCUAAUGUGAGUCCUUCAAUUCCCACCCCCCGCCAAAAGUUGGAGUGGAGAAAAAAACAUAAGGAUUAGCACAAGCAACAGGAGAAAACUAGAAAAGUGUUGGGGAAAGGUCUCAAGUGUGACAGAGAAGGCAGAAAUUCACCAGCAAAUCCAAACUGGGAAAAUCCCAGAGUUGAAGAGAAGAAAUUUAAAGAAAGAAAAUCUUACAAAAAGAAACAUGCUUGGGGAUACUCUUGUUUGCUGGUAAAAUGAUCUGUAGAAAUUCUGAGAUAAGGGGUGUUAAAAGUAAGAAAAUGCAGGCAUACUUAAUUAUCAGACUAUCAACUUUCCCCUUGUCUAACGGGAGCCAAAGAAUGGUGUUUUAAUGCCCAGCUUCUAGGUGAAAUAUGUAUUAGCAAACUGUUCUAGGCCUUUAUGUUCCUUUAUUUUUGUUUUCAAAAAUUCCUAUGACAAUAUUCUGGUAUCCCUGACACAUGAGGAUACAUUUCAUGCCAAAACCAGUUUAGAAAAUCUGCAGAUUAAAGGAGGAGUGUAUGCUGCAGCUGAGAGCAGACACUUCCAAGGCAUCUUGCAAGGGUAAGUUUAGAGUGGCGUACUCUUUGAAUAUUGUCUGAGUAUUGACAAGAUUCAAAUGGACGCUGCAAACAAUGGAGUGUUGUGAAUUGUGUACAUCUCUAGAAGUAAUUUGGUGGCAUAUAUUUAACACAAUCCGUCCAUAUUUGAGCAAACCCAAGCAAUUUACAUUUCCUGGAUGUCAGCUUGAACAGGAGCUUAGAAGGAUGGUGAUGCUUCAGUCUCAUUUGAGAUAAAAAUAAUGGAUAAUCAUGUAUUUACACAGUAAUUUAUUUCAGAAGUAUGUCAAUUAUGAAAAUAGGACUUUUAUACAUUACUGUUGAGAGCAUAAAUUGUUACUAACUUCCAUGAAGGGCAAUUUGUAUAUACAAAAGCUUAGAAAUACUCCUGAUCUUCGAAUCAUCAAUUUUCCAAUAAAAUAAAAAGAUAAAUGUUCAGGAUUAUAUAACUUAUUUAUUAUGUUAUCACUGUGCUUACAAUAAGGAAAAUCUGAAAAGAGCCUGUAGAAGCAGAAAUAGAGGAAUUUUUAAUAUGGUUUAUUCAUGCAAUAGAAUAUUUUACAGUGUCUAUAAUGAUAAAAAUUUAUAAUUAUUGACAUGGAAAUAUAUUUUUAAUUAUAAAAUAAGACUACAAAAUAAUAUUUAAAGCAUUAUCUCAUUCUGUAACAAUAUAUUAUUUGUUUGCUGGUAUAUAUGAAUAAAAUAUCUCUCAGAUAAUUGAA